CGAUCGGUAGCCGGACUGAGAGGUUGACCGGCCACAUUGGGACUGAGACACGGCCCAGACUCCUACGGGAGGCAGCAGUGGGGAAUAUUGGGCAAUGGGCGCAAGCCUGACCCAGCAACGCCGCGUGAAGGAUGAAGGCUUUCGGGUUGUAAACUUCUUUUGUCAGGGAACAGUAGAAGAGGGUACCUGACGAAUAAGCUCCGGCUAACUAC
rnacentral:rRNA from 1 species